rnacentral:rRNA from 1 species
GACGAACGCUGGCGGCGUGCUUAACACAUGCAAGUCGAACGGUGAGGCGCCUUCCUUGUGGGGGGGUGUAGUUGAGAGGCGAACGGGUAAGUAACACGUUAGUAACCUUCCCCCUGCGUCUGGAUAACCACAUGAAAGUGUAGCUAAUACGGGAUAUUCUGGGUCUGUGGCAGGAUGGGUCUGGUAAAGAUGUUGGGUCGGGGGGGGAGGGGCUCGGGGCCUAUGAGCGUGUUGGGGGGGGGAUGGCCUACCAGGGCGGUGACGGGUAGACGGCCUGAGAGGGUGGACGGUCACACUGGGAGUGAGACACGGACCAGACUCCUACGGGAGGCAGCAGUGGGGAAUAUUGCACAAUGGGCGCAAGCCUGAUGCAGCGACGCCGCGUGAGGGAUGGAGGCCGUCGGGUUGUGAACCUCUUUCGCCAGUGAAGCAGGCCUGCCUCGUUUGUGGGUGGGUUGACGGUAGCUGGAUAAGAAGCGCCGGCUAACUACGUG